rnacentral:rRNA from 1 species
CAUGCAGUCGAACGAUGAAGCCGGAGCUUGCUCUGGUGGAUUAGUGGCGAACGGGUGAGUAACACGUGAGUAACCUGCCCUUGACUCUGGAAUAAGCGUUGGAAACGACGUCUAAUACCGGAUACGAGCUUCAGCCGCAUGGCUAGGAGCUGGAAAGAAUUUCGGUCAAGGAUGGACUCGCGGCCUAUCAGGUAGUUGGUGAGGUAAUGGCUCACCAAGCCUACGACGGGUAGCCGGCCUGAGAGGGUGACCGGCCACACUGGAACUGAGACACGGUCCAGACUCCUACGGGAGGCAGCAGUGGGGAAUAUUGCACAAUGGGCGCAAGCCUGAUGCAGCAACGCCGCGUGAGGGACGACGGCCUUCGGGUUGUAAACCUCUUUUAGUAGGGAAGAAGCGAAAGUGACGGUACCUGCAGAAAAAGCACCGGCUAACUACGUGCCAGCAGCCGCGGUAAUACGUAGGGUGCAAGCGUUAUCCGGAAUUAUUGGGCGUAAAGAGCUCGUAGGCGGUUUGUCGCGUCUGCUGUGAAAACUGGGGGCUCAACCCCCAGCCUGCAGUGGGUACGGGCAGACUAGAGUGCGGUAGGGGAGAUUGGAAUUCCUGGUGUAGCGGUGGAAUGCGC